GGUUAAGUGACUAAGCGUACAGGGCGGAUGCCUUGGCAAUCAGAGGCGAAGAAGGACGUGCUAAUCUGCGAAAAGCUUGGAUGAGUCGAUAAGAGGCGUUUAAUCCAAGAUGUCCGAAUGGGGAAACCCGAUGGAUGAAGAAUCCAUCAUUUCAUUGUGAAUACAUAGCAAUGAAAGGCGAACCGGGAGAACUGAAACAUCUAAGUACCCCGAGGAAAAGAAAUCAACCGAGAUUCUGUGAGUAGCGGCGAGCGAAAGCGGAAGAGCCAGUAAGUUUUAGCUAGUGUAUUAGAGGAAUUGGCUGGGAAGCCAAAUCAAAGAGGGUGAUAAUCCCGUACUCGAAAAUACGAUAGUGGAACUAAGCUUACGAUAAGUAGGGCGGGACACGAGAAAUCCUGUUUGAAGAUGGGGGGACCAUCCUCCAAGGCUAAAUACUCCUGAUUGACCGAUAGUGAACCAGUACUGUGAAGGAAAGGCGAAAAGAACCCCGGUGAGGGGAGUGAAAUAGAACCUGAAACCCUGUACGUACAAGCAGUAGGAGCGAGGGAAACCUUGUGACUGCGUACCUUUUGUAUAAUGGGUCAGCGACUUAUAUUUUGUAGCGAGGUUAACUGAAUAAGGGAGCCGAAGGGAAACCGAGUCUUAACUGGGCGUUGAGUUGCAAGGUAUAGACCCGAAACCCGGUGAUCUAGCCAUGGGCAGGUUGAAGGUUGGGUAACACUAACUGGAGGACCGAACCGACUAAUGUUGAAAAAUUAGCGGAUGACUUGUGGCUGGGGGUGAAAGGCCAAUCAAACCGGGAGAUAGCUGGUUCUCCCCGAAAUCUAUUUAGGUAGAGCCUUGAGCGGACACCUUCGGGGGUAGAGCACUGUUUCGGCUAGGGGUCCAUCCCGGAUUACCAACCCGAUGCAAACUGCGAAUACCGAAGAGUGAUACUCAGGAGACACACGGCGGGUGCUAACGUUCGUCGUGGAGAGGGAAACAACCCAGACCGCCAGCUAAGGUCCCAAAGUCUAUAUUAAGUGGGAAACGAAGUGGGAAGGCUUAGACAGCUAGGAUGUUGGCUUAGAAGCAGCCAUCAUUUAAAGAAAGCGUAAUAGCUCACUAGUCGAGUCGGCCUGCGCGGAAGAUGUAACGGGGCUCAAAUAUAGCACCGAAGCUGCGGCAUCAGAAUUUAUUCUGUUGGGUAGGGGAGCGUUGUGUAAGCGGAAGAAGGUGGCUCGAGAGGGUUGCUGGACGUAUCACAAGUGCGAAUGCUGACAUAAGUAACGAUAAAACGAGUGAAAAACUCGUUCGCCGGAAGACCAAGGGUUCCUGUCCAACGUUAAUCGGGGCAGGGUGAGUCGGCCCCUAAGGCGAGGCUGAAAAGCGUAGUCGAUGGGAAACGGGUUAAUAUUCCCGUACUUGGUAAAGCUGCGAUGUGGGGACGGAGAAGGUUAGGUAAGCGGACUGUUGGAAAUGUCCGUUUAAGUUGGUAGUUGGGAGCGGUAGGCAAAUCCGCUGCUCCAUUCAACAACGAGAGAUGAUGACGAGUUCCUAAGGGAAUGAAGUUACCGAUACCCGGCUUCCAGGAAAAGCCACUAAGCGAAAGGCUUUACUAAACCGUACUGAAAACCGACACAGGUGGUCAGGUAGAGAAUACUCAGGCGCUUGAGAGAACUCGGGUGAAGGAACUAGGCAAAAUAGCACCGUAACUUCGGGAGAAGGUGCGCUUACAGUAAUUGUAGUCCCUCGCGGAUGAAGGUGAAGUAAGUCGAAGAUACCAGCUGGCUGCAACUGUUUAUUAAAAACACAGCACUCUGCAAACACGAAAGUGGACGUAUAGGGUGUGAUGCCUGCCCGGUGCUGGAAGGUUAAUUGAUGGUGUUAUCGAAAGAGAAGCUCCUGAUCGAAGCCCCAGUAAACGGCGGCCGUAACUAUAACGGUCCUAAGGUAGCGAAAUUCCUUGUCGGGUAAGUUCCGACCUGCACGAAUGGCAUAAUGAUGGCCAGGCUGUCUCCACCCGAGACUCAGUGAAAUUGAAAUCGCCGUGAAGAUGCGGUGUACCCGCGGCUAGACGGAAAGACCCCGUGAACCUUUACUAUAGCUUGACACUGAACAUUGAAUUUUGAUGUGUAGGAUAGGUGGGAGCCUUUGAAGCAGUGACGCCAGUCAUUGUGGAGGCGACCUUGAAAUACCACCCUUUAACGUUUGAUGUUCUAACGAAGUGCCUGAAACGGGUACUCGGACAGUGUCUGGUGGGUAGUUUGACUGGGGCGGUCUCCUCCCAAAGCGUAACGGAGGAGCACGAAGGUUUGCUAAUGACGGUCGGACAUCGUCAGGUUAGUGCAAUGGUAUAAGCAAGCUUAACUGCGAGACGGACAAGUCGAGCAGGUGCGAAAGCAGGUCAUAGUGAUCCGGUGGUUCUGAAUGGAAGGGCCAUCGCUCAACGGAUAAAAGGUACUCCGGGGAUAACAGGCUGAUACCGCCCAAGAGUUCAUAUCGACGGCGGUGUUUGGCACCUCGAUGUCGGCUCAUCACAUCCUGGGGCUGAAGUAGGUCCCAAGGGUAUGGCUGUUCGCCAUUUAAAGUGGUACGCGAGCUGGGUUUAGAACGUCGUGAGACAGUUCGGUCCCUAUCUGCCGUGGGCGUUGGAUGAUUGAUUGGGGCUGCUCCUAGUACGAGAGGACCGGAGUGGACGCAUCACUGGUGUUCCAGUUGUCUCGCCAGAGGCAUUGCUGGGUAGCUAAAUGCGGAAGAGAUAAGUGCUGAAAGCAUCUAAGCACGAAACUUGCCAAGAGAUGAGUCAUCCCUGACUUUAAGUCAGUAAGGGUUGUUUAAGACUAAGACGUAGAUAGGUUGGGUGUGUAAGUGUAGUGAUACAUUGAGCUAACCAAUACUAAUUGCCCGAGAGGCUUAACCAU
rnacentral:rRNA from 1 species